UCGAUAUCUCUUAGAGUCCGCAUAAACAGGGCCUAAGGUGAUAUUGUUCUGUCCGAUAUCUCCAUGCCAUGUCGCUGUUAUGUGUUUGUAUGUGUUCUGUUUGUGGUUUUGGGCCAAAGACGAACAACAUCCAAGAGACCAACAGCAGAAGGAGAAAUACAACAAGAAAAUAAAUGGAAAACAGCAAGACGGAAUCAACAACAUUAAGCUAAGUGCUUUUCUUACAUAUUCAUUUUUUAUAUUUCAUGAUUUCUUACAACUGUUUAUCUGUAAACCUAAACAUUACAUUGUUGGUGUUUAGUUUGCUGUACGAUUAUUCUAUCAUCUUAUUAAUGAUUUUCUCUCCUUUUUUCUUUUUUUGUUGUUUGUGCAUAAAUCUGACACCUGAUGAACACCAUAGAAAGAAGGAUAGCAGCAACCCCAAAGACCAAA